UGGUUCCGGCAUCGAUGAAGAACGCAGCGAAAUGCGAUAAGUAAUGUGAAUUGCAGAAUUCAGUGAAUCAUCGAAUCUUUGAACGCACAUUGCGCCCCCUGGCAUUCCGGGGGGCAUGCCCGUUCGAGCGUCAUAUAACAAAACUCAGGCUGAGGAUUGGCGGUGCUUCUCCUCUCAUUCGCCUGGUAUUGGGCAAGUCGGUUCAAUUCCGGGCCCUAAAUUCGUUGGCUAUAAAUUAGUAAAUGGGGAGUGCUGUAGCACGGCGCCGGUUUAGUAUCGACAAAUAUUUGCCGGGCGCGGAGUUUGUAUGCCCCUGCCUUGCGUGUUCGCAUCGGUAACUCGAACCGAAAUACAAGUUUGACCUCGGAUCGGGUAGGGAUACCCGCUGA
rnacentral:misc_RNA from 1 species